rnacentral:rRNA from 1 species
AGCAGUCGCGGUAAUUCCAGCUCCAAUAGCGUAUAUUAAAGUUGUUGCAGUUAAAAAGCUCGUAGUUGAAUUUCGGGAUCAAUAUUUCGGUCAUGCCGUUGGUAUGCACUGUUAUCAUUGAUUUCUCACCUUCUAAAGAACCGUAAUGCCAUUAAUUUGGUGUUACGGGGAAUUAGGACUGUUACCUUGAAAAAUUAGAGUGUUUAAAGCAGGCUCACGCUUGAAUACAUUAGCAUGGAAUAAUGAAAUAGGACAUCCGAUUCUAUUUUGUUGGUUUCUAGGAUCGAUGUAAUGAUUAAUAGGGAUAGUUGGGGGCAUUAGUAUUCAAUUGUCAGAGGUGAAAUUCUUGGAUUUAUUGAAGACUAACUACUGCGAAAGCAUUUGCCAAGGAUGUUUUCAUUAAUCAAGAACGAAAGUUAGGGGAUCGAAGACGAUCAGAUACCGCCGUAGUCUUAACCAUAAACUAUGCCGACUAGGGAUCGGAUAAUGUUUAAUUUUUAAUUGUACUCUA